rnacentral:rRNA from 1 species
UACCAGCACCCCGAGUUGUCGGGACGAUUAUUGGGCCUAAAGCAUCCGUAGCCUGUUCUGCAAGUCCUCCGUUAAAUCCACCUGCUCAACGGAUGGGCUGCGGAGGAUACCGCAGAGCUAGGAGGCGGGAGAGGCAAACGGUACUCAGUGGGUAGGGGUAAAAUCCAUUGAUCUACUGAAGACCACCAGUGGCGAAGGCGUUUGCCAGAACGCGCUCGACGGUGAGGGAUGAAAGCUGGGGGGAGCAA